AUUCAACCUCUCAGCCAGUAGAGGGGAGUCGCUACCUAACUAAAUUCUUAAAAGAACUCUGACCGACUGAAACACCGCUCGUGGGUCUCCCUGUCAUCUUUUAAAGGACAUCACCACCGCUCAGUGUGAGAAACGUUUGCACAAGGAAUCGUCUCCUUGUUCCCAUAACCUGAAAGAUCCCUACACUGCAAAUGGACAUAUUGAACAGGAUUUUGUGCUGCUGUUUGGAGAGGGAACAUCAGCCAAGUUUUUGCAGAGGUGGCCAACUACAUUCAAGCAAAAGAUCCUCAUGCUAAGCAAGACCCUAAGCAAGGCCACUCAGGGAGCUGAACUUCAGGAGCUGAUCCAAAUGGCAGAAUCUGCAGUUGAUGAGCUGACACGAAUGCUGAUGGAUCUCUUUGUUUAGGCUGGGACGGUGACCUUUCCUCCAUCCUUCUCCUGCUCCAUUUGAUUCCUCCUUCAUCACAAAGCCGCAAAAGACCAGCCAAGAUGUCUGAAUCCCAAGCUGAACUGCAUCUUGUGAUAUUCUAAAAGGCAGGAACCAGUAUCCAGGAGCACCUUGAUACGAUUGACCCGAGCCGCCAACCAUAUAUUCUUGCAGUCGGGACCAGGAAGAGCAGCAUCCAUUCUUACUUCAUCAUCCUGGACAAGCAAGCCUUUUAUGUCAACGAGCACUCUUGGUGCCUUCGAUGAGCUUUUCAAGACUCACUUUGUUUUUGGUGGAGCGGGAGUAAGACCACUAGAAAGCAGCAUGCUGCCAGACCACCACAGGACCCUAGAGGCCUCAGCCUGCUGUGACAAGGGCCCGGAUGGUGACAUAUGCUUCAAGCUGCCUGACAAUACAGGGGCCUUCAGCAGUACCUUCCCUUUGAUUACAGCAAGAGUCUCCUUAUUAAGUCUUAUAGCCAUUUAACAUGUACUUUAUGUAGCCACUCAAAUUCUUACAAACUUAUACGAAUACAUGAACAGACUUAUAUUCACUUGCCUCUGGCUGUGUUUACAGGCAGCCCAAUUCUGAUAUUUUUUCCACUAAUUGGUCUUUUGACCAAUCCCAGAUCUUUUCACAUUGGUUCAUUUUUCAGAGCUGAUUGAUCAAAAGACCAAUUGGUGGGAGAAAAAAAAGUGUCAGACUUGGGCUGCCUGUCUAAACACAGCCUAUUUGUCCUAUUCGUCAGGCUUGUCUGGGAUAUAUAUAUUUUAGUUGGCACACCUGUGUGAUAUAUUUUAUAUAUGAAUAAUACUUUUUUCAGACUUGCAUUGAUUUUUAGACCUCUUUGAAUCAGAAGUGCAGUCUUGAUGGAUAAAGUCUGCAUGUUGUCAGAUGUUUAAGUAGUAGUUUGUCAAAAUGAGAAGACCAGGCUGAAACAGUUUUGUAUUUUUUUUAAAUGAACAUGAGUAGUUUAUACAAAACUUGAUUGCAUUUGGUGGUCAUCCCUCCCCCAAAUUUGACCAUUUUUAAGCCUUGAUAUUUCCCUGAGGAAGGAUGCAACUUUCUGCUGAUACCUACCACCAUGUUGUCAGCUUUUUUGAUGUGAUGCUCUAGAGUUCCAUGGCCCAGCAGACUCCCCUGGGGAUGGGAGAUGGACAUGUUUAGUUUUUAUAAAAGUCUGGGAGACUUUUUUUAGAGGGAGGCGAGUGCAUUAGUUUGAGUGAGUACAGUAAGAGAGUUGACAUUGACGAUUGAGGGUUAUAAGGGUGCCUUCCAAUCACACAAAUUAUGCGUAAAAGACAGGGGGGGCUAGACUUGUGUUGUGCUGUCCGUCAGAAAAGUUCCAAAGACUAUCCAUCAACCAAUUACAAACGUAAAACAGCAUUUUACCCCACCAAACAGAUAAGCGUUUCAUGUAUUUAGGUUUGAAGGUAGCCUAACUCUGUGGUUCAAGUUGUAUCUUCAUGUCUAACUUCUCUCUCACUCCGUCUGACCCCUAAGCCCUCAUGCCUGACCUCCCAUUGGCCCAGGGCCUCUGGCAAAACCCUCUAAUCAGUCUCUCUGACAGGGAGUUACUCCAGGAGUUGACAGGUUUAUGGUGCAUAAGGUAUCUAUGUGUAUGCAUGCAUGACUUACAUGGAGUGCUCCAUGUUCCUGCUGGUUGCAGGGAAAUGGCAUGCCUUGGAGUAUGGUUGUAUCCAUCUCCACCAGGCUCCUGGAAAUCAUAUGACAAACCUGCAUAGAUUAACAAAAUAAAAUGGCAACUGUAUUUAUGCAGUUGAAGUCAUGACAGCCAUAGGUUCUUUACACAGGAGUGUACAGGUUUUUGUUCCAGCACUUCACUAACACCUCAUUCAACUAAUUGUGGUCUAAAUUGAACAAACACUUGUACACAGUUCAGUCACCUGGCCCAGAAAUCACCCACGUCUGUAUUAUUGAAUGAGCUUCCCAAGUUACAAGUUUAGCUAUAAUUCUGCAUGAUAGAGAAUAACCUGGGUGGAUCUAUUUCUAUCUAACCAUGUGAAUAAAACCCCUAAACAAGAUGAUUAUCCUGGUGGUUAGGAGGUUCCCAAGUUCUUGACAUCUGUCUGGGUGUUAGGGAUGUGCUUCAACCUGAGGAAAAUGGCAGAGAGAGGGAAGACAUUAACCCCACUGCUUACAUUUCAGUGCUGGUUCAAGUUGCUGAGAACCACAUGUACCUUAAGUUUUUCAGUCACCAAAUAAUCAAUGAACAGGCAGUGAGGUAGUUUGACAAGUGUUCAAAGUCAGUAACAAGUCUUUAAAAUAUAGCUAGCAUGUUGGCAAGUACCUGGCCAGUAAUCUUCACCUGUCGACGGCAACAGCUUUCACAGGCUCAUCAUAAUGUAAAAAUAACCCAAUUAUGAAACAUUUUAUUUAAACUGACAUUAUUUGUUGCAUAUAAUGUCCAGGACAUAACCUAGCCUGGUGGAUCCAGCCUGAUCUUUUUUUACCAUUCUAUUUCACUUCACAUUUGAUGAUAUCUGCAGUGAAGUAGAAAGGUGAACGAAGCGAUCCGGUUGGUUCCACCAGGACCAGGCUAUUUAGAACCACCAUUGAUAAUGUAAUCAGUGCUCUGUGUGUGUGUGACCCACCAGUACCUUUGAGGGGCCAGGAGCUGCUCUAUGCUGCUAUGCCCAUCAAUGGAGCUGUAGAAAAGACCCCACCUCCAGCCUCACCUUUUGCCUGCUCACCAACAGUUGUCAAUAGGGAGAACAGAAUUAGGUAGGUUUAGUCUGACUUGUUCAAACUUCAACAUAAUAUCUGAUACACAAACGGGUACUAUCUAUCCUUGUAAUGGCCAGUGGUAAUAGAACAGUGAGUAUGUAUGUAUGUGUGUGUGUGUAUGUGUUCAUAGAAACAUGUAUGGAGGCAGCACAUGGAGACUUGCAAGAUGAUGUGAAGUCCAGACUGACAGGCAGGCUUGAUACUGAUGUCUCUGAAUGGAGAAAGACCUGGCACUCGGCAGUAACAUUUUACAAGACAACUUUUACCAUUUAAUUCAAUACAAAAUAAAGGAUCAGACAAGAUGUGGAGGGAGAAACCCUGUGUUAUUCUGCACCAGGAUCAGGGAACUGCUGUUGUGAACAGGACACCACACAGGAAUUAUUAUAUAUUAUAAUAUUAUGUGAAGUGUUGUUUAUUCUACAUGGACCUGUGACUACAUCUGAAAGUUAGCAAAACACUUAGUUCAGAAUAUAUACAUAAAUUUAACAUUUACAUUCAUCUCAUGUUACUCUUCAGGCUGCUAAUCUAUUCAAAGCUUCUCUAUAUCUGCCUGUAGUUAUUGAGCUCAACCUGCAGGAGGUUUGUUUGUUGUAACUGAGUGGGGGGAAACAGUUGUGGGCAAGGUUCUGACAGAUCGGUGUGUUUUGGUGGUGGCAAGGACAAACAAACACCCGCAUCAAACCACACCAAGCCAACUCGGGUUUGGCUUCUGUCAUGGCCACCAGCAUUUCUUGAGGAGCAAGCCAAAAAACAAGGCCAAAUCAGCAGGUGCAAUUCUCCUUUAAUUCAUCACACAAUCUCAGUGCAUACAGUUGAUUUUAUUAAAACACUAUGUAUAAAAAAAAUA